rnacentral:sRNA from 1 species
UUUCACAGUUCGUUUACAAACCCCGUCGCCGGAGGCCUUGGCAGCAUUUUUUUUGCAGUUCUUGCGCUCAGUCAGUUUACUUACUACAAGUAAUGGGUACUAUGUACGCCGGCCAGUUUCUCUUUUCCGAGAGA